GACGUAGGGCGCGAGCGUUGUCCGGAUUUAUUGGGCGUAAAGAGCUCGUAGGCGGCUUGUCGCGUCGGCUGUGAAAACCCGCGGCUCAACUGUGGGCGGGCAGCUGAUACGGGCAGGCUGGAGUUCGGUAGGGGAGACUGGAAUUCCUGGUGUAGCGGUGAAAUGCGCAGAUAUCAGGAGGAACACCGGUGGCGAAGGCGCUCAUCUGGCCCAAUACUGACGCUGCAGCGCGAAAGCUAGGGGAGCAAACGGG
rnacentral:rRNA from 1 species